rnacentral:rRNA from 1 species
UGUUACACCUAUACCAUAUUGAAUACACCGGUUCUCAUCCGAUCACCGAAGUUAAGCCACAACGUGCGUGGUUAGUACCUGGAUGGGUGACCGCCUGGGAAUACCGCGUGCUGUUCAGG